rnacentral:rRNA from 1 species
GAUGAACGCUGGCGGCGUGCCUAAUACAUGCAAGUCGAGCGAACGGACGAGAAGCUUGCUUUUCUGAUGUUAGCGGCGGACGGGUGAGUAACACGUGGAUAACCUACCUAUAAGACUGGGAUAACUUCGGGAAACUGGAGCUAAUACCGGAUAAUAUUUUGAACCGCAUGGUUCAAAAGUGAAAGACGGUCUUGCUGUCACUUAUAGAUGGAUCCGCGCUGCAUUAGCUAGUUGGUAAGGUAACGGCUUACCAAGGCAACGAUGCAUAGCCGACCUGAGAGGGUGAUCGGCCACACUGGAACUGAGACACGGUCCAGACUCCUACGGGAGGCAGCAGUAGGGAAUCUUCCGCAAUGGGCGAAAGCCUGACGGAGCAACGCCGCGUGAGUGAUGAAGGUCUUCGGAUCGUAAAACUCUGUUAUUAGGGAAGAACAUAUGUGUAAGUAACUGUGCACAUCUUGACGGUACCUAAUCAGAAAGCCACGGCUAACUACGU